GACGAACCGUGCAAACGUUGUUCGGAUUCACUGGGCUUAAAGGGCGCGUAGGCGGGCGGUCAAGUCAGGGGUGAAAGCCUCCAGCUCAACUGGAGAAGUGCCUCUGAUACUGAUCGUCUUGAGGGAGGUAGGGGCAUGUGGAACUCAGGGUGGAGCGGUGAAAUGCGUAGAUAUCCUGAGGAACGCCGGUGGCGAAAGCGACGUGCUGGACCUCUUCUGACGCUGAGGCGCGAAAGCCAGGGGAGCAAACGGG
rnacentral:rRNA from 1 species